CAGCAGGUAAGCCCGCUGCCAGUCCUGUGAAAAGCGUGACAGCCAAGAAUGCAGGGCUCACAUCAAGCAAACCUCAGCCAGCGGGGAAAGCGGGGGCAACCUCAACAAAAGCAGGAACUGCCCCUGUUCCCAAAAUCUCCAAGAGCUCAGAUAGCAGCAGCUCUGAUUCUUCCGAUGGCAAAGAAGCUGAGAAGCCAGCAAAGCAGCCUCCUAUUCACCCCUUUUUUAAGCAGAUGACUGCUAAAGUGGCCACUCCCUCAGGAAAGGGCGUACAGACCAACUUAAAUACAUCCGGUGCUGCUUCCAACAAAUCCCAGAGUUCUGCCACAAAAGCAACAGGGAAGGAAGAACAAAUUCCCUCCCAAAAGGCUAAACUGAGCCAGGGACAGGCUCCGGCUGUUAAGUCCCCUGGAAUCACCGUACGUAAGGAGAGUUCCUCAGACAGCUCCUCGGACAGCAGUGAGGAAGAAGCAGAAGCUUUGACAACAGCCAAGCCUCCGGCACUGCCUGCCACCCAGCAGAAAC